rnacentral:rRNA from 1 species
AUACGUAGGUGGCAAGCGUUGUCCGGAAUUAUUGGGCGUAAAGCGCAUGUAGGCGGUGCCUUAAGUCUGUCGUGAAACUGCGGGGCCUAACCCCGUAUGGCGAUGGAAACUGGGGUACUUGAGUGCAGGAGAGGAAAGGGGAACUCCCAGUGUAGCGGUGAAAUGCGUAGAUAUUGGGAAGAACACCGGUGGCGAAGGCGCCUUUCUGGACUGUGUCUGACGCUGAGAUGCGAAAGCCAGGGUAGCGAACGGGAUUAGAUACCCCGGUAGUCCUGGCCGUAAACGAUGGGUACUAGGUGUGGGAGGUAUCGACCCCUUCCGUGCCGGAGUUAACGCAAUAAGUACCCCGCCUGGGGAGUACGGCCGCAAGGCUUAAACUCAAAUGAAUUGACGGGG